UAGAGUUUGAUCAUGGCUCAGAUUGAACGCUGGCGGCAGGCCUAACACAUGCAAGUCGAGCGGUAACAGGAAUUAGCUUGCUAAUUCGCUGACGAGCGGCGGACGGGUGAGUAAUGCCUGGGAAUAUGCCUUAGUGUGGGGGAUAACUAUUGGAAACGAUAGCUAAUACCGCAUAAUGUCUUCGGACCAAAGAGGGGGACCUUCGGGCCUCUCGCGCUAAGAUUAGCCCAGGUGAGAUUAGCUUGUUGGUGAGGUAAGAGCUCACCAAGGCGACGAUCUCUAGCUGGUCUGAGAGGAUGAUCAGCCACACUGGAACUGAGACACGGUCCAGACUCCUACGGGAGGCAGCAGUGGGGAAUAUUGCACAAUGGGCGCAAGCCUGAUGCAGCCAUGCCGCGUGUAUGAAGAAGGCCUUCGGGUUGUAAAGUACUUUCAGUGGGGAGGAAGGUGUUGUCGUUAAUAGCGGCAGCAUUUGACGUUACCCACAGAAGAAGCACCGGCUAACUCCGUGCCAGCAGCCGCGGUAAUACGGAGGGUGCGAGCGUUAAUCGGAAUUACUGGGCGUAAAGCGCAUGCAGGUGGUUUGUUAAGCAAGAUGUGAAAGCCCGGGGCUCAACCUCGGAACAGCAUUUUGAACUGGCAGACUAGAGUACUGUAGAGGGGGGUAGAAUUUCA
rnacentral:rRNA from 1 species